CACAUCUAUCCACUUCAUUACAAAACUUCUGGGGGAAAAGAUGGAACCUUAUGGUCUCAAGAACAUUGAGAUCUACCAUAUAUGAGCCUUUAAGAUCUCAUCUUACACAAUCACUAGGAAGGAGAUGGGGUUUGCAUCUGGCUCUACUUGCUACUUUCCUGGUAUCUGGUAUAAUGCAUGAGAUAUUUUACUAUUAUACGAUCCGUGAAUGGCCUACAGGGGAAGUGAUGUUAUUCUUAGCCAUCAAUGGCGUUAUGGUAUCGAUUGAGAUUGAAGCCAAGAAGGCUUUAGGAGAAAAGUGGAAUUUGCACCAAGGGAUUUCAUUGAUGCUGACAAUUGGAUUUUUCCUAGUUAGCUUUCCCUGGUUAUGCUACAACCAGCUCAUAAGGUCAGGUGUUCUUGUUAAGGGUCUUGAGGAGUCUGUUGCUUUAGGCAAGUGCGCAAAACAUGCACUACUAUCUAUUUUGUAAAAAAAAAAUGUAUUUUUCUUAUUUUAUUUUAUUUUUACAUUCAAAACAAAUUUUAUUGAUAAAGAUUGAAGGAAUUACACAAAGUUAGAGGACAAGCGCGCUACAAACUGCACCACAAGCCCUUUAUUGGCAAGCGUGGUUGAGGGGACCCCCUACCCCUUUAAAUUACGUGUGGAAACUUUUAUCAACAAUCAGUUGUUGACGUGUUUCGAACCCACAACCUCUCCACUUUGUGAGAGGGGUGCUACCAUUGAGCCACAUGCUCAUUCGCUAAAAAUGAUUUGGUAAGCCUGUUUUUAAUAAGAUCAGUAACUCGGUAAUGGUGGCGGGAUUCAAACCUCAGACCUCUUGUAUCAUCACCCAGAGGUUUUACCAGUUGAGCCAAUAAAGUUAAGCUGGGGUAGAGGCAGACCCCAACCUGUAUAUUACCAAUCACAAAGGUUACAAACUCCCAAAGAGGAUAGUCAUUUGAGGGAGUGGCUCAUAAAUAAAGCCCAAAAGGCAUUCUACUACCAGAACAUGUUGAGCUAAUAACGAAGGCCACGCGUGACUAUAAUUUGUGCAACUUGCAGAAAAUUCAAAACAACAGAACUAAGUACUUUAAAAUCCAACUACAACCUUAACAUGGAAACCAACUUCAUUAUAUUUAUCCCAAGUGAAAGUUCAGUUCAACAUAUUGGUUGUCUUUGGCAUUCCAAAACAGUUCUUGUUCGGAAAAGUUAUUGUUAAACUACUUUUCAAAACAAUGUCAGCUAAUAAAAAUUUAGCUUCCCAUGGUUUGUUAUUGCGUGAUCCUCCACGAAUAAAAUUCAGAGAGUAACUCUGUUAACCGAGCUAAAAUAUUUCAUGCCCAUUACUUCAUCAGACGCUUGUUACAUGGAAGAUGUAAAAACAAACGCUUAGAUUUGGAACAUUCAUCCAUUUCAGAGGUCUAACAACAUUUGGCCCAUGACCAUGCACGCUAUCAACUCCAAGGUGCGCAGCUCGACCAUUUAAAUUAGCUGGGGUAUGAUAGGCUGAUAGCGAUCAACUUCAAAGAAGCUCGACCAGAGAUAUAUGCUUCCGCACAAUAGGACAAUUAUUAUUAACUACUCCCUCUGUCCAACUUUUAUAGGCGCUUUUGGUGUUUACAGAUGGAUUAAAAAAUCAUAAUUAAUGAUGCAAAAGUAAUGAAUUUUACAAACAUUUCCAGUUUUGCCCUUAAUUUAAUACUCCACUUCAAGAUAUUCAAACUUAGAAAGUUGGAAUAAGACUUUGAAAUGGUUGAUACCAUGGAAAAUUAAUAAGGGUAAUUUGGUAAUCUGAUUAUUUUUUCACCUUGAGAAUAAUAAAAUGGACAAGAUUUUGUGACAAAAAAAAAACUGAAAAGUGCCUAUAAAAGUUGGGGUUGUACCUCAACUAAGUGGUUGUUUCGACAUAAAUUUUAUCAGCUCGGAUUGAUGUACAUGCAAUGACACACAUUAAAUUUGGUAGUUGUAAGAUAUAUCAAAUAAGGUCUCCAACACGAUUCAGAAAAACCAACACCAAAACAAUUAAGUACCAGGAAAAACACAAUGAAUAAAGACACACCACAACACAAAGAGCAUACAAAGAGGAAGUUACGGAUGAUUUAACUACAUAUCGUCGAUACGUGGCAGGCAUAUAUUGUUGGUGUAACACCCAAGAGUUGGGUUAGUCCCACAUCACCAAGGAAGUAGUUGUAUUGGUAGUAUAUAGAGCUUAACCAAAACCCUCUACUGCUGGAUAGGUGGACCUUGAUCCAAAACGCUCUACUGCUGGAUAUCCGCAGUGACUAAAGGAGGACAAUAUUGAUAUUAGUGAGUGGUAUGGUGCUCGACACUCCGGGAUGAGCGAGGACGAAAUCUCAGAGCAUUACAGUUGGCGUAUGUUUUAAAGUUGCAUAAGCGGAUGGGGCUUCAUAUAGACACAGAGAAAUUUUUGGGGCAAAAGUCUUAGGAAUCCCUGUGCAUAGAUACUUGAGACGACCGAUCACCACAACAUAUUCCCCGAUCCCCCUUACAUCUUCCAUGUAUACGUAUACAUUUCAGUUCUUCAAACAGUUUAAGAUUCAAUCAGUAUAUAACACUUGAUGUUGAACUUGAUUUCUUGUUGAGAAGGAAAAUACUAGGUUGCCUGACAUGAACAGUUUAGUAUGUCCUUGAAAUAUUGAGUGGACACAGGAUUUUUAUUGAGGGGUUGAGGUUGAAAAAAUAUGCUAGAAACCUAUAGACAACAACAUAUUUCCUGGAGUUCAUAUGAUACUUGCUUUCUUCCGGGAGUUCCAUUAUCUAGACUCUAGUGCACGAGUUGGAAGUUCUAUUGUCUAGAGUUGCAAUUGAUUCUUUCAACUAAGCCUCUAACGCGUAAGACAAGUCCUAAAGGCCUGAAAAUUAUUUGAUAGGUGGAGUUGAAAACGAAGACAAGUUGUGAAUUGUGAUUCAUGCAACGACAUCCUUCCUGCCAUGACUAUAGUUCUUCCAUCGAUCAGUAUUGAAGUUCAAUGUCACUGAUAGCUUCCAUGUUCUGACAAAACUUCGAACAUUAAAAAGAAUGGGAACUUAACUAUUGGGUGAAGUUAUAGAAAUCUUGUGUAGUCUGUGAUAGGAUGAUUUGUGCAACUUGCAGUUAGGGAUAAAUAUAACUCUAGCGAAAAAUCACACAUGGUAUGGAUACUAAUUAAACCUAGAAAAUUUUCUGAAAUAGUUGGAUUUGUCACGCACGAGGUGGCUGCCACCUUGUUAUGCCACUUUGAAGCUGUAAGGGUGUCGACUUCUUCUGUAAAUUUUCUUCAAUGUGUAAGGUGUAAAGGAAUCAAUUGACAGAUUCCUCUGUUUUAAGACAGUACCUUCCAUGUUCAGGUGUCAAUUGUCAGAAUAAUACUAUAACAAGAAUAACCGCUUGCAUUAGGAAGAUGUGUCUCAUUCUGAGGUCAAAGAAAAGGCUGCAGGCUAUCAACUUCAAGGUAGCUCAACGACAUAUUCUUCCAUACCAUAAGACAAACUAUUAUCAACUAGGUGAUCGUGGUUGUCCUACUUGUCAGAACUUGAUCAAUAACAUUAAAUUGGUUAGUUGAUGAGUUAUGAAUGCAGAAGAUAACCAACACCAAAACAAUGAAGUACCAGAAACAAACACACCACACAACAACACAGACUGUUUGGACCAUUAAAAAGGGGGACUGUACGCGAGAGGGGGACUGUUUCAAGACAGUACCUUCCAUACCUCAAUAAAAAUUUUGCGAAUAAGCAUAUGGUUCAAUGUUAGCACACCUCUCACAAAGUGGAGAGGUUGUGGGUUCGAAAACACGUCAACAGCUGAUUGUUAGAUAAUAAGUUUCCCCACGUAAUUUAAAAGGGGGACUGUACAAGAGAGGGGUCACAGAUGAUUAUCACCAAGAACAACAACAACCAAUUUCGGAAAAAACCUAAGGUUAUUUCAGAUCAAUAUAAGGCACUGUACCAGAUACACAGGCGCAAUGAGUAUUGAUAAAACAUAGUAGAGAGAAAUGGAUGAAGAAAUUAAAAUUUUCGUCAAAGUAUGCAGCGCAGUUAUAAUAUCACUAAGUUACGCGUACUUUGUUUCUUCAAGAAUCGCAAAAGGAAUGAAAAGAUUCCUGUCACUUGUUCCUAUAAUUUUCACAUUUCUUGUAAUUCCAUUGUUUUACUCAUCAGUUACAUUUCAAAUUGGCUCAGGUCUUUUUAUAGCUUGGCUUGCUAACUUUAAGCUUCUUCUAUUUGCAUUCCGUAAAAAUCCUGUUUCAACCAAUUAUUCAUCUCUAUCUCUUCUGGAAUUCAUUCUAACUACCAGCCUUCCUAUUUUGAUCAAACAAGACAAAUCUCCUACGACAAAGCGUAAAUCCUCAUUGGAAUUCACAAUUCGUGGCCUCAUUUGGUUUCUACUUGUGUAUUUAUACAAGUACAGUGAAUAUAUCCCUUGUACUCAUGUUUUUCGAGUCGUGUAUAAUAUUACUUACAUGAAUUUAUCCCUUGUACUCAUGUUUAGUCUACCGGCACUUAUGGCUCGCCUUUUGCUUAGAAAGGAACUCGAGCCACAAUUUGAUAAUCCACUUCUUUCCACUUCAUUACAAAACUUCUGGGGAAAAAGAUGGAACCUUAUGGUUUCAAGAAUAUUGAGAUCUACCAUAUAUGAGCCGGUAAGAUCUCAUCUUACACAAUUACUAGGAAGGAGAUGGGGUUUGCAUCUGGCUCUACUUGCUACUUUCCUGGUAUCUGGUUUAAUGCAUGAGAUUAUUUACUAUUAUGCGAUCCGUGAAUGGCCUACAUGGGAAGUAAUGUUAUUCUUUGCCAUCAAUGGUGUUUUGGUAUCGAUUGAGAUUGAAGCCAAAAAGGCUUUAGGGGAAAAGUGGAGUUUGCACCAAGGGAUUUCAUUGAUGUUGACAGUUGGAUUUUUGCUAGUGAGCAGUCCCAGGUUAUGCUACAUCCAGCUUACAAAGUCAGGUGCUAUUGUUAAGACUCUUGAGGAGUCUGUUGCUUUAGCCAAGUGCGCAAAACAUGCACUACUAUCUAUCUGGUAAUUAUUUGUUUCAACCUGUCAUAUAUGAAACCGGCAUUUGGUUUCAUGGUUUGACAUCAUUUCGUGUUUGUGUCAUCAGCUAUCUUGCCCAGACUUCAUUGUUAGGUUGAACCUUGGUACAUGUGUCAUUCCUCAUUCUUUCCUCUAUCAUCUUGUGUACAGGUUACUCAAUUUUCAGUCUGUUGGGAUUUAGUUCGGACGAAACCCUUUGGUUCAGACGAAUUUGUUCCAGAUCUUUUAUUUGUGCAGAAACAGCUGGAAUUUGGUUAGGACGAAACUUUUUAGUUCGAACGAAAUUCUUCCAUUAAGUUUUUCGUCAUUUUUGUUUUGUUUCCUUUUCUAGAGUUCAUAUAAAUAAGUUUUCUUUCAUUAGAAAACCUAAAUCCCCAGCCGUCUAUUCCUCUCUUGAGAGUGUUUGUUUGUUGAGGAAACUCUUCUCCUUCUUGAUUCAUCUUUCUCCCCAUUAUAAUCCAUAUUCUUUUGCAUAUUGGCUUUGCGAUCUCCUUGUAUGACUGUGUGACUAUCAAGGGAUACUAAAGAAGCAAUCUAUCUUUCUAGACUUCGAGUCUUCUUGUGUGUUCAUCAAGAAGUCGAGAUCUUUGUGUGUUCAUUAAGGUUCUCCGGUGAAGUCCAAGGGUUUUAAAGACAGCUGGUAUUGUCAAGUAGCAGGUGUAUACAGUAGUACUUGAUAGACUUGUAAUCUCUUACAACAUAGUGGAUUAAUUAGUUACCGAUCGAGGUAACCGUGGAUGUUUCCCAGUUUGGGUUUUACCACGUAAAAACUUCUUGUCUUUUUAUCAUUCUUCUUGUUUUACUUAUUGCGGUUUCUAUUAUAUUGCACUGGGUUACAAUAUAAAUCUUGGGGAGUAGCUAGAUUUUCGUAUUUAUCAUAGCUAUCUCUCUCGUAGUGCAGUAGGUGGCUCUCUUGGGAAAAAAGAUUUGAAACUUAUGUGCUCCUUUCUUCUCCUUUUUGAAGAUAUCAGAACAUUUCUACGUUGAUAACUAGAAUAAUCGAUGCAAUAAACAGAAGAAAAAAAAACCCAUUGUGGAUCUGAAUGAGAGCAGUGGCUACAUGGGGACAAUACCGGCGUGUUGAAUAUGUGUCAGAUCAUUACAUAUCUAUUUGUCACUGUGGUAUCUAGUUUGAUGCAUAAAAUAAUUAUUAUUAACACUUGAUGUUUAACUUGAUUUCUUGUUGACAAGGAAAUUAAUACUAGGUUGCCUGACAGGAACAAUUUAGCAUACAAGUUCUCUCAUAGCGCAACAAAGAUAGUUAUAUUUACAUGCAGUGAUACAGGUGUAUCCUAUUUGAGAACUUAGCAGUUCUAUUCUUGGUAAGACAAGGAAGGGAAAACACUUUAAAAUAGGUUUCCUCGUUCCAUAAGGAAUAGAAAUUGAGUGAAAAAGAAAUAUUUUUCCUUGGCCAACUAGAAGUUGUCCAAAGCCUAUAAAUAUAUGUUUUGGCAUAAACCAAAAGAUAGAGAGAGAAACAUCAUGUAGUGCUUACUUCAAGAUAGAUAAACAAGCUAGUGCUUAAUUUGUUUGAAUUGAUGUUUGUCAUAGACCAAAACACAGUGAAACAACUUAUUUAGUUGUUUAGAGAAACCACUAAGGUUUACUGUGUUUAGAAACAUAAGAGAGGCAGCUAGGGUUUAGCUUGUCUAGAGAGUAUUGUGAGGAAGAGAUUCUUGUAAUCUUCAUAAUAUUCAAUAAAGAAGAUAGUUUUCUUCGAGAUCUUUUAUUGUUUUAUUCAUCUUAUUUAAUGUUAUUGUUUAAUUCCGCAUUCAAUAAUAUAUUUGCCUAGUAAUUUGUAUCAUGCAGAGUAUUAUUCGUAAAACAUAGUAGAAAGAGAAUGGAUUAAAAAAUGAACUUCAAUAUUACUGAUAGUUUCCAUCCAAUAGUAUUGAAGUAUCAGUAAAACAUAUCAAUUAUGCUCGCAGAAUAUUUCUAGCAACUCCACAUUGAUCUUUCUGGCAAAUCCUUGUGUUCUUGUGUGUGUUUUGGUUGAUUCUAUUUAUUUGCUUUACUUUGUUACUUUGAAGAUACGACGAAUACGAUCUAGGGACUUGUGUUGUCCCAUUCUCGGUAGCUCGACCACAUAUACUUCCAUACCAUAAAACAAAGUAUUAUUAACUAGCUGAUCGGGGUUGUCCUACUUGUCAGAACUUGAUCAAUGACAUUAAAAUUGGUAGUUGAGUUAUGGAUGCAGAAGAUAACUAACAGUACCAAAACAAUAAAGUACUUGAAAAAAACACACACCACAACAACAGAGACUGUACAAGAGAGGGGUUACAGAUGAUUUAACUAUCACUAAGAACAACAAUAAAAAACAACCAAUUUUGGAGUGAAAAAAAGGUGAUUUUAAUUAGAUCAAUAUAAGGCAAUGUACCAGAUAAACAGGCACAAUGAGUAUUGGUAAAACAUAGUAGAGAGAAAUGGAUGAAGAUGGAACCUUAUGGUCUCAAGAAUAUUGAGAUCUACCAUAUAUGAGCCUGUAAGAUCUCAUCUUACACAAUUACGUACUAGGAAGAAAAUGGGCUUUACAUCCAGCUUUACUCGCAACUUUCCUGGUAUCCGGUUUAAUGCAUGAGAUUAGUUACUACUAUGCGAUACGCAAAUGGCCUACGUGGGAAGUGCUGUUAUACUUCAC
rnacentral:lncRNA from 1 species